rnacentral:rRNA from 1 species
GAUGAACGCUGGCGGCGUGCCUAAUACAUGCAAGUCGAGCGAACAGACCAGGAGCUUGCUCCUCUGACGUUAGCGGCGGACGGGUGAGUAACACGUGGAUAACCUACCUAUAAGACUGGGAUAAUUUCGGGAAACCGGAGCUAAUACCGGAUAACAUGUUGAACCGCAUGGUUCAACAGUGAAAGACGGUUUUGCUGUCACUUAUAGAUGGAUCCGCGCCGCAUUAGCUAGUUGGUAAGGUAACGGCUUACCAAGGCAACGAUGCGUAGCCGACCUGAGAGGGUGAUCGGCCACACUGGAACUGAGACACGGUCCAGACUCCUACGGGAGGCAGCAGUAGGGAAUCUUCCGCAAUGGGCGAAAGCCUGACGGAGCAACGCCGCGUGAGUGAAGAAGGUCUUCGGAUUGUAAAACUCUGUUAUUAGGGAAGAACAAAUGUGUAAGUAGCUAUGCACGUCUUGACGGUACCUAAUCAGAAAGCCACGGCUAACUACGUG